CCCCCACCACCACCACUACCAUCACCCCCCCCACCACCACCACCAAGGGAAACAAUAAAAACAACGACAAUUAUAAUGUUAAGACAAAAAUAAAUAAAAAUGUUCGGAAUUGGUAACGAUCAAAGACGAAAAAAAAUAAAAUAAAAUUGAUUGUGAAAACGAAAUAUCUGAUGAGUGUACCCCAAAAACAAUGAUAAACGAGAGAAUAAGACAAAAUAAUAAUAAGAAGAAGAAAAGUAAAUCUAAAUACGAAUGGAAGAAAAUAAAUAGAAAAAGAAAAGAAACAAAAUAUUAAUAGAAGUAAAAGAAAGAAUAGAGAAAAAAAAUAAAAAAUAAAAUUAAGAAAUGGCAAUAAAUGAAAAAAAGACGUCUAUUGCCCAUUCUCUCUCUCUCUCUCUCUCUCUCUCUCUCUCUCUCUCUCUCUCACACACACACACACACACACACAACUAUUCGUUCUCCAACUUUUUUUUUUAUUGUUAGUUUAAGGAAGAACAAGCAAUUUGGCUAAAGAUUCUCUCUCUCUCUCUCUCUCUCUCUCUCUUUCUCUCUCUCUCUCUCUCUCUCUCUCUCUCUCUCUCUCUCUCUCUCUCUCUCUCUCUCUCUCCAUCUUUCUUCCUUCCUCUCUCUCUCUCUCCAUCUUUCUUCCUUCCUCUCUCUCUCUCUCUCACGACCCUCCCCCUCCUCCCAUACACCAUCACAUUAUCAUCACCACCAUCAUCACCACCACCACCACCAUCAUCACCACCACCACCACCACCAUCAUCACCACCACCACCACCAUUUAAAUACAAAAUAUGGUGUUGGUAGUUCGCUUGUUAACACCCAAAUCCCCUAAUAUCCCACUUUUCACGAGAUUCAAAAUUACAAAAAGGUCAUAUAUGUGUUAAUUGGACUAUAUGGCAUAAUUUAACACUCACCACGUCUCUGUAGAAGGUGUUAAUGGAGAGAUAAUAGAUGGAAAGCACAGAGGCAGAAAUCCCACCUCCUUCUUCCCUGGCGGUUGGCGAAGCACUGAAGAACGUACCCUGUUUCGAGUCACCUUGUCUUACCUUCUUGUACCCAUUUUAGUGUGUGUCUUUUUAACGGUGCUACUAAACAGUGGAGGGGAAAAUAUAGGGAAAGAUGGGAAUUGGAAGGGAAAGAAAGAGGAGAUGGGAGAGGAAAGGAAGAAGAGAUGAGAUGGGAAAGGAAAGGAAAGGAAUAGGAAGAGAAGAUGGUAGAGGAAAGGAAGGGAAAAGAAGAAAAGAUGGAGAGGAAAAGAAAGGGAAGGGAAGGGAAAGAAGGAAGAGAUGGGAAAGGAAGAAAAGAUAGCAGAGGAAAGGAUGGGAAAGGAAGCAGAGAUGGGAGAGGAAAGGAAACGGAAAGGAAGGGAAACAAGGAAGAGAUGUGAAAGGAAAGGGAGAGAUGAGGGAUAAAAAGGAGAUGAGAGAAUUGAUUAUAAACUUUACCUCUAAUAAGACGAAGAUACGAAGUUAAUAGGUAUACUUUUUAAUUAAGCAAGAACAAACAAAAGGCAUUAGUAUUUAUUUGUAUGUAUAUUAACAACUUUAAGAACGUAUGAAACUAUUAUUUUAUUUUCUGUCACGAUGAAUUUAUAAUGUGGGUUGGACACGCUAGAACGCACCCAAAUGUAAACAAUGAGAGAGAGAGAGAGAGAGAGAGAGAGAGAGAGAGAGAGAGAGAGAGAGAGAGAGAGAUUGUGAUUAAACAGAAAACACAAAAGGAAUUAGUAUUUAUUUGUAUAUACAUGUAUGGUAAUUUAACACAUUUCAAACCUGUACGUUGUUCCUGUCAUCUUUUGAAAACACGUAGUCUGAUUUUGUUGUCACUAUGCACAGGAAAGAACAAAUAAAACAAGACAAAUUUAUUAAGAAAAGAGGCCAUUGUCUUUUAUUGUUUUUAUUUUUUCACUUCACAAAAAAAGUUACCAUGUUGAAAAAGGAUGGAUUUUUUUUUUUUUUUAUCUUCCGCCUCUCCAUUCUUUUGUCCUUCCCUCCUUCUCUUCUUUUUCCUUUCUUUUAAUUUCUUCUUCUUUCUUAUCUUUAACAUCUCCAUUUUUGUCCCUCCCUCUUUCUUCUCUUUUCUUCUUUUCCUUUCUUCCCAUUUCCUUCUUUUCUUCUCUUACCUUCAAUUAACCUUUUCAUUUCUGUCUUAUUCUUUUCUUCUUUUUCCUUUCCCUUUCUUUUCUUUUCUUACCAUCAACCUUCCCAUUUUUUUCUUCUUUUUUUUUCUUUCCCUUAUUCUUUUUCUUACCCUCAACCUCUCCAUAUUUGUCCUUCCUUCUCUUCUCUUUUCUCUUCCUUUCUUUCCUUUUCUUCACUUCUCUUUUCUCUUCCUUUUUUUUCCUUUCUUUCCUUUUCUUCACUUACUCUUGUUCGUAAAAGAAGGGAGGAAGGGAAG